AUCACUUCUUGGCCUUUUGGCUAAGAUCAAGUGAGGCAUCUGUUUUUAUCAGUUUAAAAGAUCUUUGCACUCCUAGGUUAAGCCACACAUUGUCAUCUUGUGUGUUUUUUUUAAAUAUUUAAUUUAUUUUAGAGAGAGAGAGUGCAC
ensembl:snRNA U2 U2 spliceosomal RNA